AGCUGCAAUCAGAGUGGGAGAAUGUGAGAUGAUUCCUUCAUAUAACCAAUUACAGAAAUAUGUUACUCCUAUUCAGGAUUGAGCACCAGAUAUGGAUAUGAAUCCGACAUACGUAUGUUCCACUUUUUUUUCUCAUGUAUUUCGAAAGAUCAUUGGAAGGGAUCAUUGGAAGGACAUACUCAAAUGUGUCAGACAGAGGGCAUCUGGCACGGGUACUUCAAGAAAAAAAGAAGAGUCCAAAAAAGAGGAACACAGGAGAAGAAAAGCCCAAAUUACCUGGUUGUACUUGGCCAACCUCUCACUUCUACAAGGAGCUCCAGUCUUGAUCUAUACAAAAGAAUAACCACCCUCACCAUCUAGCACUGGAAAAAUUUGAAAAAAAAAAAAAGGCAUUGCUGAUAAAUUGCUAUUUUGGGUUAGUGAUUUCGAAUGAUGUACCUGGCCACUAGCUAAACCAACAGAAAGGUCAGCGAUGAAGUUAUCCUCUGUUUCACCACUUCGGUGGCUGACCAUCACUCCCCAUCCUGCAGCUUUUGAGUCAAGUGCUGCUUGAAUAGAUUCGGUAACUGUUCCAAUCUGGUUAACCUGUCAUAGUAACAAAAAAUGAUGUAUUAGAAAUGGAAAAGAAGGCAUUUUGCACAUUUGAAUAGCAAUCUCAGUAAUCAACCAUGUUAUCUUGUACCAUGCAUGCUCAUUUGAACCCACUGAUCCAUCAAAUGAACCCAAGACAUAGCAUAGUCACAUUGGUGGUUACACAAAAACCUUGGCUGCUAUGAAAUAAAUAGUGCAGCCAAUUUUCUCACAAUGGACAGUUAGAUUCUAUAA